rnacentral:sRNA from 1 species
UCCCAUCCAAGUACUAACCAGGCCCGACCCUUCUUAGCUUACGAGAUCAGACGAGAUUGGGCGCGUUCAGGGUGGUAUGGCCGUAGAC